rnacentral:sRNA from 1 species
CCUCUAAGUCAGAAUCCGGGC